rnacentral:rRNA from 1 species
UACGUAGGUGGCAAGCGUUGUCCGGAUUUACUGGGCGUAAAGGGCGUGCAGGCGGUCUGUUAAGUUCGGGGUGAAAGCUCCCGGCUCAACUGGGAGAGGUCCUUGGAUACUGGCAGACUUGAGGGAGGUAGAGGAGAGUGGAAUUCCCGGUGUAGUGGUGAUAUGCGUAGAUAUCGGGAGGAACACCAGUGGCGAAGGCGGCUCUCUGGGCCUUUCCUGACGCUGAGGCGCGAAAGCGUGGGGAGCAAACGGG